rnacentral:rRNA from 1 species
AUUGAACGCUGGCGGCAUGCCUUACACAUGCAAGUCGAACGGCAGCGCGGGGCAACCUGGCGGCGAGUGGCGAACGGGUGAGUAAUAUAUCGGAACGUACCCUGGAGUGGGGGAUAACGUAGCGAAAGUUACGCUAAUACCGCAUACGAUCUAAGGAUGAAAGUGGGGGAUCGCAAGACCUCAUGCUCCUGGAGCGGCCGAUAUCUGAUUAGCUAGUUGGUGGGGUAAAGGCCUACCAAGGCAUCGAUCAGUAGCUGGUCUGAGAGGACGACCAGCCACACUGGAACUGAGACACGGUCCAGACUCCUACGGGAGGCAGCAGUGGGGAAUUUUGGACAAUGGGCGAAAGCCUGAUCCAGCAAUGCCGCGUGAGUGAAGAAGGCCUUCGGGUUGUAAAGCUCUUUUGUCAGGGAAGAAA